rnacentral:rRNA from 1 species
AGAAUGAACGUUGGCGGCGUGGAUUAGGCAUGCAAGUCGAGCGAGAACCCCGCAAGGGGGGACAGCGGCGAAAGGGACAGUAAUGUGUAGGUACCUACCCUCGGGUCCGGGAUAGCUGCGGGAAACUGCAGGUAAUACCGGAUAACAUCUCCGGAUCAAAGGUGUGAUUCCGCCCGGGGAGGGGCCUGCAUCCUAUUAGCUAGUUGGUAAGGUAACGGCUUACCAAGGCCAUGAUGGGUAGCGGGUGUGAGAGCACGACCCGCGUCACUGGGACUGAGACACUGCCCAGACACCUACGGGUGGCUGCAGUCGAGGAUCUUCGGCAAUGGGCGAAAGCCUGACCGAGCGACGCCGCGUGCGGGAUGAAGGCCUUCGGGUUGUAAACCGCUGUCAGUGGGGAGGAAGGCUCCGUGAAGACGGGGUUUGACCUAUCCGCAGAGGAAGCAAGGGCUAAGUUCGUGCCAGCAGCCGC